AGACUUGGUCGUUGACUGAAGCGUCGUUGACUGAAGAUGUCUGGUACAUUUCACUCAACGGAAGGAGUUUUAAUAUAGCAUCCGCGGACGCAAGCCAUUAUUGACGAAAAUAAAUAGGGUGAUAACCAGUUAUUCACUAGUGCGGAGCAGAACAGUAGGGCGUUAAACCCCAUUUCAUUUCAUUUAUUCUCUUGUGCAGACUGGGAUUUGUCAUCAUGUGGAAUGCAUGCAGUGAAAAGUAUUUUUAUUACGAUAGAUAUUUGAAGGAAUGUUCACCUUGUUCUUCAAUCUGCGAUGAUGCUGAGAAACGCGGAAACAUGGCACAUUGUUAUUCUAAUUGCCCAGAUUAUCUAGAAAGCAUUCGACAGAACAUUCAAGAACAACUUACCGGAAACAACGAAAAUAGUGAAUACCACCAUCAGUUAAUUAUGUCAGUUGUAAUAGUAGCACUGGUUUUCGUCGCUUUACUGGGAACGUCGAUAAGCCUCUUGAUAUACAAAAAGAAAUACAUACGACGACGUGAUGUGAAUAGAACGGUGGAGGAGAGUGCUAACUUUCUUACAAAUAGAAUCCUGCGGCAAGAUGAAACUGAUGAUGAAACUUCUGUACGACCAACGAUAGAAGAAAUGGGAGAAUAUCAUGUUGAGGGCACUGGAGAUUCUUCUGUUAAAGGGACCGGUGAAUUUUGUGUUAAAAGCGCCGGCGAAUCUUCUGUUAGAGACACUGGCAAAUCGUCUGUUAGAGGCACUGGCAAAUUGUUUGUUGACGGCACUGGGGAAUAUUCUGCUAAAGAAACUGUCAGUGUUUCUGGGGGCGUUAAUAUAAACCUAGAGAUGUCCCAUAUGCCUUCAACGACCAUAACCACUGGAUUGUCCGACUUACCCCCCUUUAUAGUUCAUCCAUUUAAUACAGGUACGUAAAUGUAUGGAUAACGAUUUUUCGAAACAAACUUUAUCAUAACCUGGACAUCAUAGAAACAAAUUAUUUCUGGUAUAUUAAUCGAUGGGAUAUGGACAACAGCUUAUUUCCAAUUGCACCAGAUGCAUGUAGUUCAAGUCAUUGAGUCAACUGGCGUGGUUUCGAAUCCCUGCGUCUUAUUUAAAGUCUCGCGACAAGUUUUUUUUUUUUUAGUUUGACACAUCUAAUACAUAAUAACCAGACACUAAUAAUAAUUAUAUUUUUUUAAUAUUCGUGUUAAUGGAAACCUGCGAGUUGAUUACGGUCUGGAUAAGUUAAUUAAUGUCUAAUUAAUAAUUUACAUAACAUUUCAGGCUCUUGCAUAAUGUAUGUUUACCUAUUUGAUUUUGAACUUAUAAUACUUGUAAAAGUUAACCGAUCUAUUGAUCGCGGAAAGAGACGGGGAAGGUUUUUUUUUUUAAACUUAACUUUCUUAAAGUAUAGCAGUCUUUCAGGGUCUCCCUGGCUCACCAUUACCAAUGUUUAAAAUGUACACCAAUCUGAUCAACACUAGAUAAACGAUGUUUUAACGUCCGACUAUGUCAUUAUUCAACAUUUCAGUAAAAUUACUUCAAUCUGAGCAGAGUUAUGGCUGCUUGAAGAAUAGUGUAUUCUUGAGUGUCAUUGCCUCUGUUAUUACGAUAAUAAACAAAGUCUCGAUUAUCCAUUUUUUAAUUGAAUUAUUAACUGGUAAUCGUGUUUAAAUCCGUUGAAAAUCAAAGCCAUCUGACGUUCUAGAGACUUGAUUAUUGGCUUGAUAUGUGAUUAAAUGUUUAAAUAAUGAUUUAUGUAACAUUUGCAGGGACCGUACUCAGAUUUUUGGCAAAAAUUUAUAUUUUUAUAAAAGCCUCUAGUGUUAUUGUAUGAUUUUUAUGAUAUUUUUCAGUCAAAUUUUAUGAUAAUUUUAUAAUGUUUUUAUCACAUUUUAUGACUUUUUAUGUUUUUGUCAUUAUUAAAUAUUUUAUAUAACUGCACUGACAGUAAAUAACUUAUCCCCGGUCCAUGAAGUAGUGUUCAGCCAGUGUUAUGGGGAUUGAAACGUUCCACCAGUAGCACUGGUGGUAUUAAUGGCCGCAGUCAUCUUCUCCUAUCUUCAUAUACCCACAUACCAUUGACUGAACACUGUCAAAUAGAAAAUGAAAGAGGGCAGCAAGCUGGGGGUAAGAAUGUCUUGACGAUUUUCUUAUUCACAUCCGGAUUUAUUUGUAUAGAAAUUUAUUAUUAUUGUGAGUAGUGAUUUCUGGUUAAUUUUAUAUUUUGAAAAAUGUUUCGUCUAAUUUUAUGAUAAUUUUAUAAGAAAUAGUAAUAUUUUGUAUUUUUUAUGAUAUUUUUCCAUUUUAUAAUAAUUUUAUGAGUAUGACUAAAUUUUAUGAAAAUAAUAAAUGUCUUUAUAUUGUACGGUUCCUGCAUUUGAGGCAAAACGAAAGAUUUAGCUCUUACAUAAUGUAACUUUGAGCCAAAGUAGAUCAAAGUAAGCAUUUUCAUUUGUUUAGAGAUACAUGUAUGGUUAAAUGACUUUUUAUUGAUUAUUUAAUAUUUAAUUUUGAUAACAGACACCAAUAUAACGACGUACUCUAAGUUUAAGUGUUAUUUAAAAGUUUUAAUAUAAUUACAUUGUAUUUUAAGAUAUGUUUUUAUAGAACAGCAUUUUUUUGUUUCGAAAAUGGGGAAAUUAAAUGAAGAAUGAGCCUUUCCUAUUUUAUCGAAGAUUUUUGGGGAUGAUUAAAAUGUGCAUUUUUUCUGGUCCUCUUUUUAAAGGAACGUGGACAGUCCCUGACUAUUUUGUUUGGAUUGGAAACGCAUAUACUUAAUGUUAAAAGUAGGUGACGUAGUAGGCUACAUAGGUACUACAUAAUUUGUAUUAUCCAUUGAAUCAGUGUAUAUCACGUUUUGUUUACGCCAAUUUCUGUUCACGGUUUCAUUAUUUAAAAUAGGAUAAAUUUUGAAAAUAAUGAUCAAAAUUUAGUUUUCUCUCUGUAACUAAUUCAUAUUUAAAUAAUUCCCUUUCCUUUAAAACAUAUAUUAUAAAUGGAAAACAUUUCUGGAUUGUAUAAAUAUUUAAGAUUUUGACUUGUAAAGGCAUUUAUAUGAAUAAUAGCACAUACGAUUUAUUGUGUUUUUAUGGUCACGUGUACAAAGCUAGGGGGCACUUGUGCACCGACCGUGGUGUUUCCGGUCACUCUUCAUCGAACUGCAAUUACCGGGGCUCUAUUUACGUGCAUUUCACUGUGUACACGGGUGGAACUCGGUAAUUAGUACCACCGAACCACUAGGCACCACUUUCCUUGUCAGCUUCGCAUAUGUUACUUCGUCUUUUAGAAAAUGAAAUUCGUAUAUUGUUAUGUACUCGAUAGGACAGAGUUAUAUGUAUAGUUUUUUUUUAAACACACGGUGCGAUUGUUCAUUGGGUUUCCAGCCAAUGCUAAAUUCAGUUUUUCAAACCGCUAUAGUUCAACGGGUCAAUCUAAAAAUUAUUUAUUUAUAUAGUUAUAUGUUUUAUUCACGAAUGGAAGAACUCAUUAUUACUUUGUAUAACGAAUAUUAUAAUAUUCUGAUGAUAAAUUACACAAUAACGUAUGUUAUAUUUAAAUGAAUUACAUUCCAUGAAGAAUAUAUAAUAUUCUGAGAAUAAAUUAUAUCUUUACAUGAUCUGAAAAUAAAUGCCAUAAUAUUAUAUGACGAAUAUACCGUUAUAAUAUUCUGAGAAUAAAUUAUAUUUUUACAUGAUCUUAGAAUAAAUACUAUAAUAUUGUAAUGAAAGAAUAGCGUUCUAUGACGAAUAUACCGUUAUAAUAAUAUUCUGAGAAUAUAUUAUAUGUUUACAUAAUCUAAAAAUAAAUACUAUAAUAUUUUAAUGAAAGAAUGGCGUUCUAUGACGAAUAUACUGUAUUAAUAUUCUGAGAACAAAUUGUAUCUUCACAUGAUGAGAAUGCAUUAAAUAUUAAAAUAUUCUAAGAAUAUAUAAUAUUUUAAUGAAAGAAUGGCGUUCUAUGACGAAUAUACUGUAAUAAUAU